CACGUAGGGUGCAAGCGUUGUCCGGAAUUAUUGGGCGUAAAGAGCUCGUAGGCGGGUCUGUCGCGUCUGCUGUGAAAACUCGGGGCUUAACCCCGGGCCUGCCAGUGGGUACGGGCAGACUAGAGUGCGGUAGGGGAGACUGGAAUUCCUGGUGUAGUGGUGAAUGCGUAGAUAUCGGGAGGAACACCAGUGGCGAAGGCGGUUGCCUGGAGCUUUGCUGACGCUGAGGCGCGGAAAGCGUGGGGAGCGGAUCCGGA
rnacentral:rRNA from 1 species